UACGGAGGGUGCAAGCGUUGUUCGGAAUUAUUGGGCGUAAAGCGCACGUAGGUGGUGGUUUAAGUCUCGUGUGAAAGCCUGCGGCUCAACCGCAGGAGGCCAUGGGAUACUGAACCGCUUGAGACAGGUAGAGGCCAGCGGAAUUCCGGGUGUAGCGGUGGAAUGCGUAGAGAUCCGGAAGAACACCAGCGGCGAAGGCGGCUGGCUGGGCCUGUUCUGACACUGAGGUGCGAAAGCGUGGGGAGCAAAC
rnacentral:rRNA from 1 species